rfam:Picea glauca, whole genome shotgun sequence.
UAAUGGUUUUAUAGUGGUCUUAUGCAACGAAUCCCAUUAGAACUAUGUAGUUAACCGCACUUGGGGUAGAGUAGUAUUAGGAUAGGUGACCUACUAAGAAUUCAUAGUGUUUUAC